rnacentral:rRNA from 1 species
GGGGGUGGGGGGGUCCUAUCAUGCAAGUCGAGCGGACAGAUGGGAGCUUGCUCCCUGAUGUUAGCGGCGGACGGGUGAGUAACACGUGGGUAACCUGCCUGUAAGACUGGGAUAACUCCGGGAAACCGGGGCUAAUACCGGAUGGUUGUUUGAACCGCAUGGUUCAAACAUAAAAGGUGGCUUCGGCUACCACUUACAGAUGGACCCGCGGCGCAUUAGCUAGUUGGUGAGGUAACGGCUCACCAAGGCAACGAUGCGUAGCCGACCUGAGAGGGUGAUCGGCCACACUGGGACUGAGACACGGCCCAGACUCCUACGGGAGGCAGCAGUAGGGAAUCUUCCGCAAUGGACGAAAGUCUGACGGAGCAACGCCGCGUGAGUGAUGAAGGUUUUCGGAUCGUAAAGCUCUGUUGUUAGGGAAGAACAAGUACCGUUCGAAUAGGGCGGUACCUUGACGGUACCUAACCAGAAAGCCACGGCUAACUACGUGCCAGCAGCCGCGGUAAUACGUAGGUGGCAAGCGUUGUCCGGAAUUAUUGGGCGUAAAGGGCUCGCAGGCGGUUUCUUAAGUCUGAUGUGAAAGCCCCCGGCUCAACCGGGGAGGGUCAUUGGAAACUGGGGAACUUGAGUGCAGAAGAGGAGAGUGGAAUUCCACGUGUAGCGGUGAAAUGCGUAGAGAUGUGGAGGAACACCAGUGGCGAAGGCGACUCUCUGGUCUGUAACUGACGCUGAGGAGCGAAAGCGUGGGGAGCGAACAGGAUUAGAUACCCUGGUAGUCCACGCCGUAAACGAUGAGUGCUAAGUGUUAGGG